AGAGUUUGAUCCUGGCUCAGGAUGAACGCUAGCUACAGGCUUAACACAUGCAAGUCGAGGGGCAGCAUUUCAGUUUGCUUGCAAACUGGAGAUGGCGACCGGCGCACGGGUGAGUAACACGUAUCCAACCUGCCGAUAACUCGGGGAUAGCCUUUCGAAAGAAAGAUUAAUACCCGAUGGUAUAAUCAGACCGCAUGGUCUUGUUAUUAAAGAAUUUCGGUUAUCGAUGGGGAUGCGUUCCAUUAGGCAGUUGGUGAGGUAACGGCUCACCAAACCUUCGAUGGAUAGGGGUUCUGAGAGGAAGGUCCCCCACAUUGGAACUGAGACACGGUCCAAACUCCUACGGGAGGCAGCAGUGAGGAAUAUUGGUCAAUGGGCGCAGGCCUGAACCAGCCAAGUAGCGUGAAGGAUGACUGCCCUAUGGGUUGUAAACUUCUUUUAUAUGGGAAUAAAGUUUUCCACGUGUGGAAUUUUGUAUGUACCAUAUGAAUAAGGAUCGGCUAACUCCGUGCCAGCAGCCGCGGUAAUACGGAGGAUCCGAGCGUUAUCCGGAUUUAUUGGGUUUAAAGGGAGCGUAGGUGGACAGUUAAGUCAGUUGUGAAAGUUUGCGGCUCAACCGUAAAAUUGCAGUUGAUACUGGCUGUCUUGAGUACAGUAGAGGUGGGCGGAAUUCGUGGUGUAGCGGUGAAAUGCUUAGAUAUCACGAAGAACUCCGAUUGCGAAGGCAGCUCACUGGACUGCAACUGACACUGAUGCUCGAAAGUGUGGGUAUCAAACAGGAUUAGAUACCCUGGUAGUCCACACAGUAAACGAUGAAUACUCGCUGUUUGCGAUAUACAGUAAGCGGCCAAGCGAAAGCAUUAAGUAUUCCACCUGGGGAGUACGCCGGCAACGGUGAAACUCAAAGGAAUUGACGGGGGCCCGCACAAGCGGAGGAACAUGUGGUUUAAUUCGAUGAUACGCGAGGAACCUUACCCGGGCUUAAAUUGCAUUUGAAUAUAUUGGAAACAGUAUAGCCGUAAGGCAAAUGUGAAGGUGCUGCAUGGUUGUCGUCAGCUCGUGCCGUGAGGUGUCGGCUUAAGUGCCAUAACGAGCGCAACCCUUAUCUUUAGUUACUAACAGGUCAUGCUGAGGACUCUAGAGAGACUGCCGUCGUAAGAUGUGAGGAAGGUGGGGAUGACGUCAAAUCAGCACGGCCCUUACGUCCGGGGCUACACACGUGUUACAAUGGGGGGUACAGAAGGCAGCUACCUGGUGACAGGAUGCUAAUCCCAAAAGCCUCUCUCAGUUCGGAUCGAAGUCUGCAACCCGACUUCGUGAAGCUGGAUUCGCUAGUAAUCGCGCAUCAGCCAUGGCGCGGUGAAUACGUUCCCGGGCCUUGUACACACCGCCCGU
rnacentral:rRNA from 1 species